rnacentral:lncRNA from 1 species
GCUCUUGGUAUGAAUAAGUUUUUGGCAUGAAAUCUUAACCUGGAGGGAGUUCUAAGUUGCAGAGAGCCUUUUCUAAAUUGACUAAUAAAAUUCUUCCACCUCUUUCAUUAUGAACCACAUCCCUCUGUUUCCAGGAAUUUCUUAUUUUGAGAGGUUGCAAACUGGAUCACAUCAACAUCUGCACACUGAGAACAUGAUACGGUAACUUUGAAGCUUUUAAAGGUUGAGGCUAUAUGUAAAUAUCUUACCUUGUUACUUCCACAUUGAAUCUGUGCCUUCAUCUCAGAUUCUGUAAGCUUUCUGCCUUGGUCACACUGAAGCCACACUUCUGUGGAAUAUAGGUAGUAAUAAGACUUGCUUAUAACAUCAGCCAUGAGUGGAUCUAACAGUUUAACCUGAUGAAGACUACCCUGCUCAUAUUCGGAAUAAAUUGGAAAUGAAAUCUGCUGUUCCUUGUUACAAGAAAAAAACCUUCAAACACAGUGAUGAUGCAUAUUGGCGGUGCUCCCUUAGUCUGGUUCCUAUGAGAAGAUCAUGUGGAAUAGAUCUGUGAGUGAAAAAUUCAUUGUUGUAAGCCAUUGAGGUGGUUCUUUUUUACAAGAUAAUUUCAUCUACUCUUACUGCUGUAAAUUCACAAGUAGGUGAAAAACAACAAUAACCAGAGGCUGUAAAAAAG